rnacentral:rRNA from 1 species
AGUGAACGCUGGCGGUAGGCCUAACACAUGCAAGUCGAACGGCAGCACAGUAAGAGCUUGCUCUUACGGGUGGCGAGUGGCGGACGGGUGAGGAAUACAUCGGAAUCUACUUUUUCGUGGGGGAUAACGUAGGGAAACUUACGCUAAUACCGCAUACGACCUACGGGUGAAAGUAGGGGAUCUUCGGACCUUGCGCGAUUGAAUGAGCCGAUGUCGGAUUAGCUAGUUGGCGGGGUAAAGGCCCACCAAGGCGACGAUCCGUAGCUGGUCUGAGAGGAUGAUCAGCCACACUGGAACUGAGACACGGUCCAGACUCCUACGGGAGGCAGCAGUGGGGAAUAUUGGACAAUGGGCGCAAGCUUGAUCCAGCCAUACCGCGUGGGUGAAGAAGGCCUUCGGGUUGUAAAGCCCUUUUGUUGGGAAAGAAAAGCAGCAGGUUAAUACCCCGCUGUUCUGACGGUACCCAAAGAAUAAGCACCGGCUAACUUCGUG